GUUAACACUGUGUUGCAAAAUGCUCCAGCUGUGGCGAUGCUGAGCUCUUGCCUGCAGUUUUCACAAUGUUUAGAAACAGAGGAGUGACAAGUUUAGCCUUUAAGAAGUCAGUUACUGCCUUUAUAAUAUGGAACAAAUGGUCUUGCCCUAUGGACAACAUAAAACAGGUUUAUAUUUCACAACAUCUCAGAAAUGCUGCAUGUACAAGUCCAGUGACCAAAAAAAAGAGAUAAUUCAGAAAAUGCAUCAAGAUUAUGUCCACAGGCACUGUGAACAGGGAUUUCAGCAAAUAUAACACUCUGGGAGUGUCAAUAAAAUAUAGAGAUACAACUAGAAGAGGAGGUAU
rnacentral:lncRNA from 1 species